AGGGAGGCCGGAGCUACUCCAUGGCUCCUACCAUCGCGCGGCCGGAUGGCCGCAUGCGUGUGCAUUGCAGACUUUUUGUUGUUGCCUUUUCGGAUGUGCAUGCACGAGGAACUUCCUUCUUUGGAACUGCUUCUUGCAUGAGCUGUUUCGGAUAUUUCGUCUCCUGGCCUGGCUUAUUUCGUUUCGGUGCUGCUGAGACCUCCUUUCGCGGAAUAUUACUCAAUGACAGUGUGCGAAGAACGCGAGUUCCCCUUCUCGACGAAAAUCGUGGACUAACAGUUUGAAGUCAUUGAACUACUUCCAAGAGUUGUAUCGACAUCAACAGGAUUACGAUUUCAGUGCAAUAUG